rnacentral:rRNA from 1 species
GUGGGGAAUUUUGGACAAUGGGCGCAAGCCUGAUCCAGCCAUGCCGCGUGAACGAUGAAGGCCUUCGGGUUGUAAAGUUCUUUAGCCGAUGAUUAUAAUGACUGUAGUCGGAAAAUAAGCCCCGGCUAACUUCGUGCCAGCAGCCGCGGUAAUACGAAGGGGGCGAGCGUUAUUCGGAAUCACUGGGAGUAAAGCGUGCGUAGGCGGUCUUGUAAGUUAGGAGGGAAAGCCCAGGGCUCAACCUUGGAAUUGCUCUUAAAACUGCAAGGCUCGAAUCUCGGAGAGGAUAGCGGAAUUUCCAGUGUAGCAGUGGAAGGCGUAGAUAUUGGACGGAACCCCAGUGGCGUAAGCGGCUAUCUGGACGAGUAUUGACGCUGAGGCACGAACGCGUGGGGAUCAAACAGGAUUAGAACCCCCUGUAGUCC